CGGCGGACGGGUGAGUAACGCGUGGGUAACCUGCCUCAUACAGGGGGAUAACAGUUGGAAACGGCUGCUAAUACCGCAUAAGCGCACGGUACCGCAUGGUACGGUGUGAAAAACUCCGGUGGUAUGAGAUGGACCCGCGUCUGAUUAGCUAGUUGGUGAGGUAACGGCCCACCAAGGCGACGAUCAGUAGCCGACCUGAGAGGGUGACCGGCCACAUUGGGACUGAGACACGGCCCAG
rnacentral:rRNA from 1 species